rnacentral:lncRNA from 1 species
CAAACCGGAGGUGUGUCUGGUUGAUAUCCCUGUCUUUCCUUCAUCUUUCUCUCUCUCUUUCACGGUUUCAAGACGAGAAAUGACAAGCACUGCUGCAAUAUGUUUUUGCGCGAGUCAUAAUUACACACAAGCUACUCCAGCGUGAACUUUUAUUGGAGUGCUUCCUGAAUGAUGCGAGCUUGUUUCAUAUAAUAUCAUGCAGCAGGUGCGAUGUUGUGACAGUGUAACCUUUUUGAGCAACAUUUGGCCAUUGCAAACUGUGCAUUAGAUAUCGAUGUGUGGAAUGGGUCCUGCACACCACUGCGUCACGAUCUAUGAGUCCAGGCCUGAAUUUCAAUGUCUCAAUGUUGUUCCCGCAUUUUUAAAUAAAUUUGGAAUCUUUCAUUAUACUGCCAAUGCAUUUGGGACAUACUGAGCAGGCAUGGGCCAGCAGCAGCGCCGGUAGCUAUUAUUAUUUGUGAUGCAUUCACGCAUGACUUGUUUGUGCUUCAUUACUGUAACGUGCCUAGCACAUGCCUAGAAUAAAGUAAAAAGUAAAUGCAAAGUGGACCAUUUUCCCGGAUUCGUGCACUAAAAUGGUGAACAUACAAGUCCAUUUCAAAUGUCAGUAGUGUAUAGACACCUCUUGCAUUGAGUGCAAGUUCACUAAGUGUGUUAAGAAUUUUAUUAAUUCUUUACUGUUUCAAUCGAAAGUCAGAACCAGCUGUUCAUAGGUCUAGCAGUUGUACGUUUUCUGUGAUGAUGAGCUACUUCCAAUAGUUUCCAUAA